rnacentral:sRNA from 1 species
AAUGUGAUCAGCAAGGGACCUUUGAGAGCCGAGGUUCCGCUUAAAAUGGAAAGCACAGUGGAAACAUCAUGAAGGACUGGUUGUUUGAAUUGGGUCACUUACUGUGGAACUCCGGCACCAGCCACAUGCUCUCGGUAGUACUCAGCCACCAUGCAGUCAAGUGACCUCUGGUUGUGUCAUCUUCAUACUGUGUUACCCCCAGAGGUGAGAGGGACAGGAGGCCACCCCCCCAACCCCCAGGCCAGCCCUUGGAAGGCAUGUGUCAGAAAGGGGUCCCUAAAUCCUUGUUUUACCUGGACCCUUGGAGGUUCUUGAGAAGUGGACUCUGAAAUAAAUAACUGGUAGAAAUUCUACAGUGUGGAAUUUCUUGCAGUUAGCAAAAGCUUAGGGGUCCAGGUUUUUGCAGGAUUCCUGUCUUGGUCCUUUCAAACCAAGGAGGUCUGCUGGCUCUGCCAGGCCGCCUCACACGCCCAGUGGGAUUCUGACCCGGCCUCCUUGGUGCGGCAGCGUCUCCCGUUAACGGAAGAAGACGCUUAGCCCCUCUGACAGGGCCAUGGUUGUUUUUUCAAUUAAAAUGUCCUGGAGGGAGCAUCGCGCUCAUUAUCUCCUGCCCCUGCCCUCUACCCCAGCCAGAGGUCUCGAUCGCAGAACUUUUUUAAAAACAGUAGCAUGUGUAGUUAUUUUUGUAUACAUGUGGCUUAGAUUGGGUUGCAGACUUCAUUAAUUCCAUUUGAACCCAACUAAAACAGGAGACACAAUCCUUGUUCUGACAUCGAAUGCAGCUUGUGGUUUAAAAUGAGCCUGCCGGCUGCAUGGGUGCACGACAGUACAAGCAGGGCUUCAAGGAGUCUGCGCCCAGUGUUUUAAGCGACUACCACACUGACAAUUUGGGGAAAGCGUGGUCUUGAUAUAUGGGGCAGAAAGAGCUCUGUACAGUGCACACACCUGCUGCUGUCCCUGGGCAGCCCCUGGGUCCCCCCAGCCAUGACUGUUCUGCGCGAGCUCCUGAGCUGGGCGACCUCAGUGUGGGUCUCGCCUUCCAAGCCAGACAGUCGUUGGAGUCCAGCUUGCCCGGCGCCGGCCUUCACUGGUUGGCUGGAGCGGCACUUGGCAUCGCCGCCGGCCCCUCAUGGGGGUUUUCCGUUUGUGGAGUGUUUGGUACCGCGUGGUAGUUAACCCUCCAUGCCAGGCGACUGCAUUGCUGCAUUCGGGUAGGAAAGGGUGAAAGAAUUUUUUUUUGUUUUUUUUUUUUAAAGUACAAGGACCGCUCUGCUUUGUAAGCAGGAACCGCAGUCCCCUGAGGAGGGUGUGUGAAGACUCGCUCAUUUGAGUUCUUUGAAAUGGGUCCCUUGGUCCUGCUGUCACAUUGCCUUGAGCUAACGGAUCCUGUUCCCAUCAUAGGCCGGUCCUUGGGGCAUUGGGCAGGUGGGGGCUUUGUGCCUCUGCGGCUGCUGCUGUCUGUUCUCUAACAGGCAGAACUGAGGGAUUCUGAACUCAGGAUGUGCAGCUCUCCAGACUGAGACCCCAAGGCUGACUCCAGGUGGAUCCAUUGUCUCUUUAUUCUCAUUACAAUUUAUCAGAAAAGUAAGACAAAUUCAGGAUUCUCAAAUGCUGAGGCAGCCCCGGAAUUGGGGGAUCUUUCUGUUGUUAGUCCGCCCAUAUUUUCAAGCAGGCAUUAAAGGAAGGUCAGCCACUGCGCCUAGAAUAAGUAGGUCAGGCCUGCUCCAUCCAUUGUCCCCGGCCCCGCACCCUCCUCCUGAGAAGACUGUGGCUCCUGACACGUCUAGAGAGGAAGGGCCCCGGGCUGCUGAGCGAACACAGUAUGAAGAUUGCUUACUGAUCCAAAUGUCCAUUUUAUUGCAUGUUUGUUACUUUUUUUGUUAGAUGUAAUGUAAGAUUCUCUUAUCACAUCCAUUCCCUCUGACAUUAGUUUUGAGUUAAUUGAGAUUCUUUAAGCGUUAGCCUGGGGAAGGUAAGUCUUUAUCUUCCAUUAGACAUUUUAAAUUAAAAAAUCUUAAGUAAAACACCAGCCGUGUUUCUCAGGUAUGAGUUAAAAGCACAGGUGGGCGGGCUCCAAGCAGUCCAGAGGGCGAUGAGGAUGCCGAUUGCUGGGAAGAUCCUGGUCCCUUUUUGUCCCCAUGUUUUCAAGAGGAAGGAGGACGCUGCCAUUUUACUUGAGUGAAAGACCCUUCAUCACGCACGAAACCCCCGAGGGCUCUGGGCUCGGUCCUGCUGCCCCGCAGCGGGCGGGCUCUGUGUGUCUUACGGUUGCAUCUGUUGUACCUGAGAAACAUUUUUUAAACAAAAAAAUUCAACACAAAAGAAUUUUUUAAGAAAAAAAUGCUACUGGCCUAAAUAAGGUUUAUAGUUAAGUAUUUAGUCUUAAGUUGUAAGAUGCUAAGUGUAGUCGUAAGUUACCCGAGGGUGUGUCUAAAGGGAAGGGGGUGCUGGGACCCGCAGCCUCGCCCUAAACCAGAGCUCGGUUUGUUUAGGUGGAAGUUAAACGAGCUGAGCCUCGGGACAGCAAGAGCCAAGCGCCGGGACAGCCAGGUGCCAGCCAGUGGGGGAGCCGGGUUGUGCCCAACGCUGCCAAUGGCUGGGCAGGCCAGCCCCCGCCCACGUGGCAGCAAGGAUAUGGCCCGCAAGGAAUGUGGGUGCCGGCAGGACAGGCGAUUGGUGGCUAUGGACCGCCCCCUGCAGGAAGAGGAGCCCCCCCGCCACCCCCACCGUUCACCUCCUACAUCGUGUCCACCCCUCCCGGAGGCUUUCCCCCUCCCCAGGGCUUCCCUCAGGGCUACGGUGCCCCGCCACAGUUCAGUUUUGGCUACGGGCCUCCACCUCCACCGCCAGAUCAGUUUGCCCCUCCGGGGGUUCCUCCUCCACCAGCCACUCCCGGGGCAGCACCUCUGGCUUUCCCACCGCCUCCGUCUCAGGCCGCCCCGGACAUGAGCAAGCCCCCGACAGCUCAGCCAGACUUCCCCUAUGGUCAGUAUGCAGGUUACGGGCAGGACUUGAGUGGCUUUGGACAGGGCUUCUCGGACCCCAGCCAGCAGCCUCCUUCCUAUGGGGGUCCCUCCGUGCCAGGGUCGGGGGGCCCCCCCGCCGGUGGCAGCGGCUUUGGACGAGGGCAGAACCACAACGUGCAAGGGUUCCACCCCUACCGACGCUAGCCCGCGGCGCCGCGACGUCUGCACGGCCCAGACCCAGGAUUCCAAACUUGUGAACUCGUGACAAUCACAAACGUGGCGGCAAAGUAGCGACUCAACCUUGGGGGGGGCGGGGGGAGGGCGCGAGGCUUUUGGAGCGGCUGUGGGUGUCGUCUGGACUGAGGUUUUUAAAUAUUUCUUUCUCUAACCCAUCAGCACAAUAAAAAAAAAGUCACUGGUUCAACAACAGGGUUUAAAAAAAAUGUCUUCAGCUUUAAUUCAAAACUUCAGGUUUCUUUUUCUUCCUUUUUUUGGAAAUUAUUUUCCUGAGCCUUUUGUUUUACAGUAUAUUGUAAACUUUUAUGUUAAAGAAAAAAUAUACAUUUACAAAUUGUGAGAUUUUUAAGAGAAAUUUUCUACGAUGUAUACUGGCUUAUUUUUUAAUUUAAAACAGGGUUUCCGUCGGCACUGGUGGAGGGGUGCGCUGUUAGUCCCCUCGCUCCUGGCUUUGGGGGUUGGGACUUGGUGGUCCAGAAACUCUGGGAGCUUCAAGAAGAAAUCUACUGAGUGUAUUUCUGUUUUUUGUUUAAUUCCUUGCUUUUGUCGACCUGCUUGGUAGCGUCUGAGGUGAACUGUGGGGGUUGCGCACAGCCAGCCGCGUGGAUCCCACGUGGCGCUGAACCAAACGAGUAGGAAGCCUUUCUCCCCAGGCACGUGGCUUCAGGGCGUUUCCCAUUGACCAGUUUGACCCUGGUUUGAAUAAAGAGAAGUGCGUUUGCAUUAGAAA